UCCAAUCACAGACAGGAAUGCUCGAGGCUUCGGCAAGUUGUCGACAUCCCUUCUGCCUGUGUCGGAAAACCCCCUUGUAACAUACAUGUGAAAGUAUACACGCGCGGAUUUCGUGUUGGAACGUUCAACAAGGAGCUUCCUAGGCAUCGGAUGAAUAUGGUGUCCCCGGUACAUGUCUACGAUGUGAUGACAAUCGUGUGAAAUCUUUAGUGGACAUGGCAUUCUACAAUCCACACUCGCCGCGCGAGCGACCGGUUCCACAUAAACAAGUGUCGAGUCCAAUGCAGAAUGUAGAGCACCAGUAUGCAUUGCCGAAUAGUCAACAUGGACAUAGCCCACACGGUCCCGGGGGUGCGCGCAAUGGGUUCGGGUCUGCCAAUGCACCCAUGCCGCUUAUGUCCCGGGGGUUUCGGGAGACUGACACACCCCACAGUCGCCACCACCGGGGUACCAGUGACUUUGACACCCGGCGGUCGGAGUGUUUGAGGAGGGGCGUUCUAUACGAGGAUCCGGACUUCCUUCCUCAGGAUACUUCCGUGUAUUACAGCAGAAAUCCGCCCUAUAGGAUCGAGUGGAAACGUCCAGGGGAGAUAGCAGGGUACCAUCACAUGAAGCCAAACUUUUUCCUUGACAACGCUUCCAGAUUUGAUGUGAAACAAGGAGAGCUAGGUGACUGUUGGGUAGUGUCCUCCAUUGCCUGCUUGUCAAGUCCAGAUCAUCGUGAACUAUUUCGGCGUGUGGUCCCAGCUGAUCAGGGAUUCCAUGAGGGCUGGUAUGCCGGGAUAUUUCGAUUUAACUUCUGGUACUUUGGUAAAUGGGUGGAGGUGAUUGUGGAUGACAAACUACCCACCUCUCGAGGACAACUGCUGUUUGUACAUUCCAACAACAAGAAUGAGUUCUGGUCAGCUCUCUUGGAGAAAGCCUAUGCGAAAUUAAAUGGGUCCUACGAGGCGUUGAAGGCAGGCAAUGUGGGGGAUGCAUUGACUGACUUCACCGGGGGGAUCUGUGAGAGCUACAUCUUACGAGGGGGAAAGACCAAUGUGCCGCCCAACAUCGUCAACAUCCUGUUCAAGGCCCUGGACCGCCAGAGUCUCAUUGGGUGUGGAAUCAACCCAAUAAAAGGUGGGCCUGGUACGGAGAGUAUCCUACCCACUGGUCUGUGUGCCGGACAUGCCUACAGCAUCACAGACCUCAGAGAGAUACUGCUCAUGUCUGAGGAUGGAGAAAUGCCUAUAACACUAGUGAGAGUGCGAAACCCCUGGGGUAGCAGGGUGGAGUGGAAUGGAGCCUGGGGAGAUACGUCUAGAGAAUGGAAUAGCAUUCCAGAACAGGACAGAGAAAAAAUGGGGCUAGUGUUUCGGGAUGAUGGCGAGUUCUGGAUGGAGUUUGGAGACUUCAAGCACAACUUUGAUAGCCUUGAUAUCUGUAACCUGACACCAGACUCGCCAAUAGAAAUGCCUAAACAGUGGCAUACGGCAGAGUACCAGGGCUCGUGGCAGCACGGAUUCAAUGCUGGGGGCAGACCGUCACAACAGGACACCCACUGGACGAAUCCCCAGUACAGGGUGACUCUGUCUGACAUGGAUGAGGAUGGCGACAAUGUUUGCAGCUUCAUCAUACAAAUGAUGCAGAAAGAUAGACGGAAAAUGAAACAGAAAGGCAAGAAAAACCUCUAUAUAGGAUUUGUCAUAUAUCAGCUCCACAAAGAAGAAGAAAUGCCAAUACCAAAGGAGUUCUUUGAGACCAACCGCCAAGUAGAAUCAAGUGGCCAUUUUAUAGACAGUCGACAAAUAAUAACUCGUAUGACGAUGAGUCCUGGUGAAUAUGUAGUUGUGCCAUGUACCUACGACCCCAACGAACUUGGUAGCUUUUUCCUCAGGUUUUUCUUCGAAAACAAGAAUGCAGUUGCGAAUAUAGAUGCCACGUCUGAGAGGGUCCCUGUUACUCUGCCUCCCACACCCCCUGACAAUGAAAAGGAAGAGAAAUUCAAGAGAUUCUUCUACUCUGUGUCAGGGGAGAACAUGGAAAUUGAUCCUUUUGAAUUAAGAAGUAUUGUGAAUGAUGCCCUCAGGAAAGAACCUUUACACAGAGACCUGUCAGUGGACGCCUGUAAAUCCUUCGUGCUGCUGUUAGACACAGAUAACUCCGGCCAGCUAGGCUACCCUGAGUUCCAGUACCUAUGGAACCUUCUCAGGAGUUGGAAGAAACUUUUUUACCAAUUUGAUGCAGACCAAUCUGGAAAGCUGAGCUCAUUUGAGUUGAGGCGAGCAGUUGGGGCAGCAGGUUACAAAUUGAAUAAUUCCACAAUGAAGUCCCUUGUAUACCGGUAUGCUGAUGAAAGAUCUCUUAUUAGUUUGGACAACUACAUGAUCUGCUUAGCUAAACUCAUGAAACUGUUCAAUGACUUCAAGAAAAAUAGCUCAAACAAUCAAAUGUCACUAUCUAUAAACCAGGUACUCUGGUUUCUACAUAAACAUUACAGUAUACAGGGGUAAGGAUUGAUUGUAAUAGCAUGUGCUUGUGUUGUGGUUAGUUGGGGAAGAUAUCAGUUGUAUCAAGCUUGUAAGGUCAUUGAAGGUCAAACUUACUGUGGUUGGAGCGGUCCCUGUCGGUGUGAUGCUGUGAUGAGAUUAUUACUGUUGUCUCCAUAACUGUGGUAACGCUGAAAUUAUCUGUGAUAUUUCAUGUGAAUGAUACAUGUGUAUGCUGCUGAAGCUUAUGAAAUUGUAUAGCAAUGAUAAGCUGAGACUAGUGCCUGGGAGACGAGGAAUGUGACCAGAAAACUGAGUUUGAAGCUGAAACUAAUGCCUGAAUGAUAAGGAAUGUGACCAGAGAACUGAGUUUGAAGCUGAAACUAAUGCCUGAAUGAUGAGGAAUGUGACCAGAGAACUGAGCUUGAAGCCGAGACUUGUGUCUGAAGGACAAGGACUGUGACCAGAGAACUGAGCCUGAAGCCGAGACUUGUGUCUGAAGGACAAGGAAAGUCACUGUGGUACUGAUAAUGAUAAGCUCUGCAGAAUGAAUGAGGAAUGUCACUGAUCAACAAAACCAAGACAAGGUUUUCUUGAGGAAUACCAAAUGUAGGAAACUAGAACAAGAAUUACUUGAGACUAAGGGAACAAAAAUUGUGUACAUUCAGACAUAAAUGAUCAAUGAACAGUUAUCAUAUUUUGAGAGUAAUAACUUAUUACCUAGCAGGUAUUGUCAUUACAUCAUAACAACUACUAAAGGACAAGUGCAAUGCUUUGCUCUCUGAGGUCUUGUCUCUUUUAAGUCUGGGUAAACUAUGGAGUUGAUAUUUUUGUUGAAGUAGAAUGGAAAGAUACUCUCGAUUUUUGAUAGUAUUUGUAGAAAUAUUUUGUGUGACUGUGGUGAUUUGUAUUACCUUACAAAGGAAGCCCUCCAAGGUUCAUAUCCUUAGUUUAAUAACCAAUUAAUCAUUAAAAUCAACCAUUAUUUUUCUGAAUAUUUAUCCAGGCUAAUACAGUAGCUGUAUGACUAAAUGAUGUUAUAGGGUUAAUUGUAUUACUUAAAUGACACAAUUCCUUCAGUAAAAGUACUACAGUUAACCCCUUAUUUUACUGACGGUAACAUUAAGCUCUGUUACAUAUAUAUUGUGUAAUAGAACCUGACCAUGUUUGGUAAUCAAUGUCAUUUAAUUUGACAUUGAUACUGCAGAUAAAAUUGGAAAGUACAUACCAGUGUCAAGGAUAUCUCAUCAGGGAGGGUUUUAUCCCAUUUACCAAGUACCGGUGUCUAUAAUAUUCCAUCAGGGGAUUUUUUUCUCUCACAAUAACACAAAUUUCAAUACAUUAUUAAUGUUUUGAUGCAUAAUGGAUUUAAAUGAAUGUUGAUAUAAAAGAAUAUCAUAGUAUUUAUGAAAGGCAAUAUAUAUAGAGGUUCAUCUGUGACCCUUCAAUUUAUGUCUUGUCAAAGAUUGAUGUACAUCAUUUCAGAAGGUAAGCUAAUGGACACUAACCAGAACACCCUCAUUCAGUCCAGAUUGCUGUUUUAAUGAUGUUUAUUUUAUGAUGGUUAUCAUUCCAGUGAUUUUAAAAAUCAGCUCCACAUUUAAAAUCUUUGUAUAUUAAGAAGAUUAAGGAUCUAAUUUGCCAAUGUAAUACUUGUGUUUUAAUGUUGACUCUACCUAGACAUGUUUCGUUUGUUUAUCUGUGCCUGUCUGUCAAAGCUCCAUGGUGUCCUGGCAGUCGCCGGAUACCAAUUAAAGUUAGAGGUGCACUGUUUAAAUAGAAACUCUUCAUUCAGAAUACUGAUGAAUUGUUUGCUGGACAUUUUUUUGUUAUGUUAUAAGUAUUUUUAUGCUGUUAAUCAUUGUUUUUUAAAUAUUUGUUUUCAAUCAUUUGUUUAAUUGGUUUUGAUGAAAUGUUUCGUAAUAGACUUUUACUCCUUCAUCAUCAUUGAGGUCAUCUGUCAUCUUUUAGUAUUAGACGGAGAAAACAACCAGACAGACAUCAUGUACACGUCUGGACUGCAGUUGUUACUUGUACAGGUUUUAUUAUAGGCUAGCAGGUAGUCUAAAACAGGUUUUACCAAGGGCAAUUUCAGAACAUCGACAUCGACGUAAAUGUCUCCGCGUUACGAUAUUUUCGAUAAGGAUGUUUUAAUUUUAAACCAGUAGUACCAUCUAGUCAUUAAUGAGGACAGUUAAUACAUCAAGUAGUCUUAUUUUAGCAGUCACCUGUUUUUUAAAAGAUUUUGUACAAAUGUGUGUACAUUAACCACUUUGUUUCUGAUUAUCCACUUACUUACAUUUAAGAUAAAGGGUACCAACAAGUGAAACUAUAAACUUACCACUGACAAUGUUAUGAAAUAUUUAUUUAAGACCCUUUAAAAAGAAGUAUUUCAUUAAAAUCACAUGUUGCCAUGCAUUUGACAGACUUGUAUUUGUUCAAAUCAUGAACGUUUGAAUUCAGAAAUUAAAAAAAAAAAAACAGAAAACUUCAGGGGUCGAACUCUGUAUCUUUACAUUACAUUACUCUUUACCUAUGUUGCUAUGAACAAUGAGGAAAUUAUGCAAGCCCAGAAUCAAAACUAGUGGCCAAUUUAUAGACCACAAAGCAUUUGAACAACUUGACAGGGGGAAGUGACUCUAAGCCAGAAUAACUCCUUUUGUUUCCUUCAUUAUCUAUACAUAAAAAGGGAGAAUACUCAAAAGGAAACUUGAGUGGAACUCUUCUUUAUGAUUGUAACUGAUGCAGUGGUAUCCUUAACCUUAAUCACGAUAUUGAACCAAUUCAGUAUCUUAUAUAAUCAAAAUGAUUUUCUAUAAUCAAAACCAAAGAAUUGAUUCAUUUUUUCAUUUUGUACCAGAUAUUACUGUGUCAUAAUACAAGCUCUGAUAGCUGUAGUUUUAUGCCGCCUUUACCAACUCCGGCCCGUGGCAGAUUUAAUCUGAUGACAUGUUACUGUCAGGGAUGACUUGGUUUUAUGAGAACAUGUUGUUUUUGUUUUAUGUUCAAAUCAAAAUGUAUUUUGCUCUGUUUAAUGAAAUGCUUUGCAAAUUUCUUAUUUUAACUAUUUGAAUUUAAAGUACUUACAUUUUAUUGAAAAGAUCUCUUUCCAGGCAUUAACUUUAAUCAUUUCACCAUUUUUUUUUUAAAUCAAAAAUAUUUUUUUAAAUUGUUUGCAAACUUUCAAAGCCACUGAUGAAAUGACAUUAACCAUGCAUUUAAAUUAUCAAAUCAUUAGAGACUAGGAUUAUAUUAUUAUUUCAUCUUUUAUUCUUAUUGUAGAAUUCUUUUCUUGGGACAGUUUUUGACAAUAAUGGUGAAUAAAUUAUGAGAUUUAUAAUGUGCUGUAUUUAUUUCAGAUUUACUUCUUGUAUGUUAGGUUGAAAGAUCUUCACAUUCUUUUACUUGUCCUGCUGAAUUUAGAAUCAUCUGUCAUAUACUUCCCUGGAAAGCAAGAUUGUUUCACUAUAUUUACAGAUAUUACAUUUAGGCGUGUAACAUGUACUCCAUUCCAAUGGCAUUGCCAGGGUUCCAGUUAUUAUGUAAUGUCCUCUAUUUAUUUUGUAUUGGUGUAGGCAGCAUUAUGUCCCGUAUGACCUAAAUAGUGUUCUAACUUAUAAAAUUCCAAAUUAAUGUUAAUCCAUACUUUGUCUUGUCUCCAUUGUAACACAUGACAGAUAUAUGUUGGUGUUUUCCGGAAUAAUGCAUCAGCAUAUACAGGCAGUCCACUGAUUGUAGUUCUUGUGUACUUAUGACAAAGAAUUAAUUGAAUAGAAUGUCGGUGUGUGUGUGUCUUGUUGUGUGUUGAGGGGGAGGUCAAGGACAUCAUACAUAAAAUUGGCCAUAUUUAAUGGAAGCAAGAAUGUUCUGAAAAAUAUAAUAAAUAAUGAGAAGUUGCUAACAAUGA